UACGGAGGGGGCUAGCGUUGUUCGGAUUUACUGGGCGUAAAGCGCGCGUAGGCGGAUUGGUAAGUCGGGGGUGAAAGCCCAGAGCUCAACUCUGGAAUUGCCUUCGAAACUGGCGGUCUUGAGCAGAGGAGAGGCGAGUGGAAUUCCGAGUGUAGAGGUGAAAUUCGUAGAUAUUCGGAGGAACACCAGUGGCGAAGGCGGCUCGCUGGUCUCUUGCUGACGCUGAGACGCGAAAGCGUGGGGAGCAAACAGG
rnacentral:rRNA from 1 species